rnacentral:snRNA from 1 species
GUGCCCACUUCGACAGCACAUAUACUAAAAUGGGAAUGAUACAGAGAAGAUUAGCAUGGCCCCUGAGCAAGGAUAACAUGCAAAUUUGUGAAGCGUUCCAUUUUUUU